rnacentral:rRNA from 1 species
GACGAACGCUGGCGGCGUGCCUAACACAUGCAAGUCGAACGGAAAGAUCCGACUUCUUGCGCUUGUACGUCUUGGGGACAAACGGGUGAGUCACGCGUAAACAACCUUCCCCACUGGUGGGGCCAACAGACGGAGACGACAGCUAAUACCCAAUACACUCCCGGUUCGCAUGGCACCGGCAGGAAACGUGGCCUCUGGAAGGAGCUACCGCCGCAGGAGGGGUUUGCGUGUGAUUAGUUAGUUGGUGGGGUAACGGCCUACCAGGACGAGGAUCUGUAGCCGGUCGGAGAGGAUGAUCGGCCACACUGGAACGGGAACACGCUCAAGAGGACUACGGGAGGCAGCAGUGGGGAAUCGUACGCAACGGACGAAAGUCUGACGCAGCAACGCGGCGUGAGUGAAGAAGGCCUUCGGGUUGUAAAGCCGUGUUACUCGGGAAGAACGACUCGUCUCUAAAUAAUGAACGGAGGGGCGGGAACCGAAAGAGAAGGCCCGGGUUAAUUAGGG